UUGUUUCAGGAGUAUAUAUUCUAAAUUUGGAACAACACAGAGAAGAUUAGGAUGGCCCCUGCACAAGGAUGACACUCAAAUUUGUGAAAUGUUCCAUAUCUUU